rnacentral:lncRNA from 1 species
UGCAUCGAAUGGUAAAUAUCGAUGUUUUUCGAUACAUCGAUGUAUAUCGAGCAUCCCUAAUUUAAACCUCACUUAAUUUAAGCCGUCAAAUUUGGCGGCUUAAGAAAACUUAAAAAAGUGUGGUUUAAAUGGGUUUAAAUCGAGUUUGACAUAAGGUGCAACGAAAAUAUUUACUUUAAGCGGGCCUUAAUUUUAAGUUAGCCUUAAUCUAGUCGGUGCAAACGGCCCUUAGAUUCUUAGAUAUCUACAGUGCACGGAAUCCGGCCACCAAAUCGCACAACACUAGGUAUGCGGCCAUCGGCCAUUUUGUUUCGUUUUUGUGACCAUCAGUUCGAUGAAUUUUAAAGUUCCAUACUUACAGAGGCAGAGGCGUUAUCUGUGAAAAAAAAAAUGAAUUUAUAAUCAAAUGAGAGCAGAAGCGGUGCCAUCACAAGAGUCUGAAGACAUAUAAAUGGAUUUUUGGAUAUUAAGGAGAGCUUACCUCAUGACUGCAAACACGUCAUGGAGUUGGAUUUUCAACCUACCACAACAGGUUUUCUGCAAAAGAUGCAAUUUUAAGUUUGGUCUUUAUAAGGCAACAGGAUUAAAAAGCAGAAAUAGCCUUUUGUGUUUAGAAAAAAAAGAGACAUUAGCAAAUAGUAUUCAAAAUCUUGAUCUACUGUGUAAAUGUAGUAAUGUAGUCGGUUUGCUAAACUCAGACAACUGGCUAGUGAUUUUAGUAGGUAUUUUUUUGUUUUUUUGCCAAAAUUGGCCAAAUUACUAAGUAUUUAGUGUUUAUUAACUAUUUAGUAAUUAUUUUUUUGCUAAUUUUACCAAAUUGGCAAAAUUACUUGCUAAAAUCAUUAGUAGUGGAGUCACUGAAGGGUUUCAUCUCCGAUUUUGUUGAACCUCCAUCGAUUUUCAUGGAAAUUGGUGAGUAGUUAGAGGAUACCUCAACGAAUAAAGGUGACAUGAUGACAACUUGCGCUUUUACUCUGGGGGUGGAUGCCGCACCUUCUAGGGGGUAAAAAUUAUUUUAUUAAAAAUAAUACCAUAAAUCGAUAGAGGGACAAAUUCUAAGCAAAAUUGGUUAUAUAAAGUUAUUAAUAUUAAUCAAUACUUUUUGAGUUAUUAAGAGGAUCGGUACGUUUUUUCGGCUGCAAUGCUAUUCAAAUGGGGAUUCAUUUUUUUCGAAUUCUGAGAAAACUAAUAAGUAUUUAAAAAAAAAAUUAAACGCAGAAUGAAAGAUUACGUUAUUAGCGAGGGCCGAAAGUCCCUGAGAACUUCUAUAUUGUUUAUUUUAAUAAGUUACAGGGGUGAAAAACUAAGAGAAAAUUUAGUGUUAUUUUAAUUUCAAAUGUCUCAUUCAAAAUAAACUUUUUAUUUAUUCUAAGGGACUUUCGGCCCUCGGUAAUAAUUUAGUCUUUCAUUCUGCGUUUAGAUUUUUCAAAAAUAUUUAUUGGUUUUUUCAGGAUUCGAAAAAAAUGAACAGAUGUCCGUGGUAAUAUUUUCCAAAUCUAUCUUUGUCAUACAACGCACUUAGUCGAAUAGAAUAUUGUCAGUCAGACACUGACAAUCAGUGACAAUUUUAAAUAAUUAUUUGACAUGAAUCGGGAAUAUUUUUAGUUGUUCAUUAAAUCAUAUUGAUAUAUAGUGUAUUUGAUAAAUAAUUGAUUUAAGAGGUGAACUUUAUAAAAAGUUAUUUAUUGUGUAUUAUUUAUGGAAGAUACAAGCAGAGAAUACAUUAAGAUAUAUUCUGUGAAGAUGUACAAAAUUGUAAGCGUUCCAUAGUAACAAUAUAUUAUUAAAAAAUCACUUUAACACUUUUGCUCUUUUCUCGAUUGAGUAUUAGUUUUUGUUGUAGGUACAUAUUAUUACAAUCACUGAAUACAUAGCUAGUGAAAAAAUUAUCACAUUUAUUAACUGAAUUAAUAAUUUGCAAUUAUACAAAAAAUAACAGUUAUCCAAGAACAUUCAAAAGCCAUCUCUUUAAGCUAGUUAUGACAUUGACAAGUAGAAUGACAUUCUAGUAAUAUGUACAGCUGGUUCCAAAAAAAACUGAUACGACUCUUAAAGCGAAUUUUGUAGAAAAUUGAGCAGUGUACUUUCUUCUUCUUCGUCUUUUUGUUUUUGGUCUCGCUGCAAGGAAAUUACCAGCACGAUUUAUAGGCGAUCUUGAUGUAGUUUGGCUCUAAGCCAUAUCAAAAUCGCUGACUAUGUUCUUGUAAAAAGCUUUUGAUGAGGUGUGAGUUAUUGAAUAUGAGUUUAAUUAUGUUUAUUUAUUAUAUUUUCAAGGAUAAAUACUUAUUAUUUACAUACUGUCACUGUCACUGCCAAAUCUUAAAAUUUGUCAGAUAACUUCAACUUCAAAAAUUGCUGUUUGUUUGUUUUUUUUUAUGAUCUGUCUGUCAUAAUAAAUAUAAUAUAAUGUCAGACCAAUUAUACACUGCUCAACAUGAUCAAAUCUUACUAAUGCCCGGUUGCACCAACAGAUCUUAGGCUUAAGUCGAGAAUAUCAUAAGAAUUAAUAUAAUAUAAUUAUAAUAUAUUACAAUACGAAUACCAUAAUAUAAUAAUAGAUAUAAUUGAUAAUAAGAUAAGAAUCUAAAAUUAUGGUGCAACGUAAGUGAUACUCAAGGAGGCCCUAUCUAUAAGUAGAGCUUAGCUAAGCUGCAGCUUAAGAUCUGUUGGUGCAACCAGGCAUAAGAGUCGUAUCAGUUUUUUUAGGAACCAGCUGUACAUAUCGAUACCAGUGUGAAUUUUACUACACGUAAUUUGCCAUGUAAAGACAGAAAAGGUAGGGAUAGCCGUAAAAUAUUUGCGAAUUAUGUACCCAUAGCCUUAAAGAUCAAAGAUUUUAUUUUUCGUAAAAAGAUGCAUGUUUUAAAGCUAGCUGUUUUUAACUCAUAACUCAAAAACAAUGAGCCUUUACAAAAAACAUAAUUACCAUUAUUACCAAUAAAAAAAUGAAUACACUCCUUACUUAGAACUAAACUAAUGUUAAUUCCAAGUGAGCUAUGGGUAAUUGACUGUAUAUUUUUUCGAUGAGUAUCUACUCAUAUCUAAGUAUUCAAGCGUAAAUAACGGGAAAACGAUGCAUUUUAUAAAAUAUACCUGUUAACCUUUGUGUCUAUACCCAGGUACAUGGGUAUCAUUCAUAAUUGUUUUAUCUAAAUCAUUGGCGAUAGUAAAAAUAUUUUUAUUCCAGCUUCUAGUUAUUCCUAAAAUUAUUCAGAACGAAGAGAUUUAUAAUAAAAUCCAAAGAAAAAAAUGCAUAUAAUAUAUUAAAAAUACCUGUUAAAGUUUUUAUACCAUUAAGUCCACACCUGUGGCACCCAGGUAACAAUAAUGUUUAGUAAAUCAUGAAGCUGUGUCUAGUUUUUUUUAUAAUAAAAGUGAUAUAGAAACAUAAAUAAAAAUUACAUUUCAAACAUAUUGUUUGCACUUACUUAUUUUUACUGAGUGUUUGUUACAUAGUGAACGAUUACAAAGAUUACAUAAUUUUGGUGUCUUUUUUAGCCGUUUUUUCGGUAAAGACAUGCAAAUGUAGCAAUUUGAAACAAUUUUGAAGGGUCCAGUGUAAUCUUGGAGAGGUAAUGACUGCUGUAUUACUUGAAUCUGAAGGUAGAGGUUUUCCUAACAUGCACUCAAUUCCUGACCUGGAUGAAUAAUUUCGAUAUACAUUUGGCAGUUCAGAUCUAGCAUAAAUUGCAGGCAUCACUAGUUGUUUCCCUAAGUCUUGUAGAAAAAUUCUACGCUUACUAGUUUCAGUAGAACUCUGUGGAUUUGUAUUAUAGGUUGCUAGGCAAGCUACUUCUAGGAUAUGGUAAGGUAAAAGGAAGCUACUGGCCAACGCAAAGUUCUGCGUUUAGUGGAAUAUUGAGAAACCAUUUUGUCUACGCCUCCUUUAGUUUUAUUAUAGUACUGAAUUAUUUCAGGUUUAUUUUUUGACCCACUUAAAUUAUCGUUGUCAUUGUUGACAGCAAAAUAAGGUUUUUCCUUUUGUGGAACAUAAUGAACAAGUGGUAACAUGAUUGCACUGAAUCCAUAUAAUGAUGAUUCAGGCUCACGCUCUGGCGAAGGCAGCAUUUCUUGUAGAUUAUAAAUAUGGUUUGUUUCUUUUUGUUAUCAUUAGUUAGUACCCACUAAUGAUAAAUUUCAAGACAACAGGAGACGGGCUAGUGGAAGAGUUGUGAAAAAUUAUCCAUUUUUAUGUUUCAUCCAGAAUUUUUGUAUCUGUAACACAAAUCUUUUACUACGCGUUCACCUUUAGUAUUUUCACGUCCAGUUGAAUUUUUUCCAGUAUAUAUUUGUCUAGAAGUGGAUACGAAUUACCGUCAAGGGAAUUAUCGUCGAAACUAUGAGCGAAGUGUACCGAAACAAUGCCGGGUACCUGGGUAGCACGGGUAUAGACUACCGUAUCAGGUACUUGGGUAUAGACAUAACGGUUAAGCACUUGUCAAAGUACUUGGAAAUAUUUAUCAAAUGAGCUACAGAAGAAGUUAAUUGCAUCAAAAUUAAGCAAGUUGUGAUGAAAAUAAGAGAACCCUUUCGAAUUUUUUAGGAAAAAGUGAAAAAUAAAAACGCUAUUUCCAAAAAAAUUAAAAUUUAUAGUUUUCCUUUCAAGAAUUUCUUUGUAUUUAGCAUAAGUAAUGAUUUCAACAAUUUUGACCGGUUUAGAAUGCAUAUUUUUGAAAAAAGAUCUAAUUUAAAAAAAUCAGAAUUUUUAAAAUAAUCGUAUUUUCAUUUUUUUUUGAUAAUAACUCCAAAAAUACUGAAUGUAUGUAAAAAAUGAUGUACACUCACCGGCACGAAAAACGGGCACCCCAUAAAAUGGGCAAUUUUUGAUGACUCGUAUUUCCUAAACAUGUCCGAUUUAAGUGAUUUUUUAAUAUGUUAUAGGCUUGUUCUUUAUCAAUAUAGCUGUAAUAAUAUUGUUGCUAGACAGGUAAAUUUUCAUUAUAUACCGGGUGUACCAAUCAAACUGUUUUUUUUUUCUAAAAGUUCGGAACACCCUGUGGAAUAUUCUAGCAAUUAUAAAAUUCUCAAAUUAAAACUCAACUAUAGCCUCAGAUUUUCUUUACGUUUUGCUUUUUGAUUUAUUCGCUUAUGUGGGAUGAUAAAAAAGUUAGGUACUUUAACAACUAGCCAUGUUCUUCAUCAAUACAGGGUGUUUCUAAAUAAGUGCGACAAACUCUAAGGGGUAAUUCUACAUGAAAAAAUAACGACCGUUUGUUUUGUAAAUAUAUGUCCACAAAUGCUUCGUUUCCGAGAUACGGGUUAUUGAAUUUUUUCUUACAAACUGACGAUUUAUUUAUUGCUCUAAAACCGGUAGAGAUAUGCAAAUGAAAUUUGGUAUGUUUUAAGAGGCAGUUAUUGCGCAUUUUUUGGCGCACAAUUAAAAAUUUUAUAUUUACCAUUGGCGUGCAUACGGGUAACAUGACUGGGUAGUAUGACCCGUAUGCACGCCAAUGGUGAAUGUAAAAUUUUUAAUUGUACGUCAAAAAAUGCGUAAUAACUAACUCUUAAAACUUACCAAAUUUCAUUUGCAUACCUCAACCGGUUUUAGAGCAAUAAAUAAAUCGUCAAUUUGUACGAAAAAAUUCAACAUCCCUUAUCUCGGAAACGAAGCAUUUGCGUACAUAUGUUUAUAAAACAAACGGUCAUUAUUUUUUCAUGCAGAAUUACCCCUUAAAGUUUGUCGCACUUAUUUAGAAACACCCUGAAUUGAUGAAGUACAGGGCUAGUUGUUAAAGUACCUAACUUUUUUAUCCCAUAUAAACGAAUGAAUCAAAAAGCAGAAUGUUAAAAAAACCUGAGACUAUAGUUGGGUUUUGAUUUCAGAAUUUUAUAAAUGCUAGAAUAUUCCACAGGGUGUUUCGAACUUUUAGAAAAAAACAGUUUGAUUGGUACACCCGGUAUACAAUGAAGCAAAUUGGUACACCCGGUCGAGCAAAAAAUAUCAUAGCGAUAUUGUUAAAGAACAAGGCUAUAACAUAUUAAAAAAAUCACUUAAAUCGGACAACAGGUUUAGGAAAUACUAGCCAUCAAAAAUUACCCAUUUUGUGGGGUGCCCGUUUUUCGUGCCGGUGAGUGUAUAACCAAAUGUUAAGUUUUUGUCUGUAUCAAAUAUUUUACUUGUCUUACUAUUUUUGUAGGGUAAAAAAUAACCGAGAUACAAACGUUUAAAGCUUAAAUUUUGCUGUGAGUACCAUGUAACCGGGGCAAUUUAACCUUUUAUUUUAAAAAAAGUAAGGGGUUUAAAAGAUUUAAUUCAACGUGGUUUAAUAGCCCUUGGAAUUGUCUUUCAAAUGGUUUUCAGGUGAACCUGAUAUCUAAAAAUUGACAGUUAUAUUUAAAAAAAAAUCAACUUUUUUGGAAAAAUUUUUAAAAGAUACAUUUUGAAAAAUUUUUGGAGCAUAAAUUUUAAUGCUAUCAACUUGUUCAGAGGCUCAUUCGAUAGGUAUUUCUAAGUACUUUGACAAAUGUUUUAUAAGUUUUUUAUAAAAUGCAUUAUUUUCCCAUUAUUCAAGCUUGAAUACAUAGAUUUGGGUACUCACCGGAAAAAUAUACAUUCAAUUACAUAUAACUCACUUCCAGUUAGCACUAACAGGUCUUUCUAGUAAGGAGUUUAUUUAAUUUUUUGUAGCUUCACUUUUAGUAAUCAUAACUUUUUUGUUAAAACUUAAAGUUUUUGAGUUAUUUAUGAAAAAUCUGUUAAAAACAUUCGAGUUAAAUUCUUUGAUCUUUAAUAACUCAAAAAGUUUCGAUUUAUUUUAAUAACUUUAUAUAACAAAUUUUUCUUAGAAUUUGUCACUCUAUCGAAUUAUGGGGUUAUUUUUAAUAAAAUAAUUUUCACUCUCGAGAAGGGUUGGUAUCCACCUCCAGGGUAAAAGCGCAAGUUGGCAUCAUGUCAUCUUUGUUCCUUGAGAUAUCCUCUAACCACUCACCAAUUUUCAUGCAAAUCGUAAUAGCUCAUAUUCACCUUCAGUGACUGCACUAUAGCCAGUUGUAUCUGAGUUUAGCGAACCGACUACCCCCCCCCCCUCUAAGUAUGUACUCUUGAUAUUAAAUGUUGUGUUACUUUG